GACGAACGCUGGCGGCGUGCUUAACACAUGCAAGUCGAACGGUGAAGCGCCUUCCUUUUUGGUGGGUGUGGAUGAGUGGCGAACGGGUGAGUAACACGUGCGUAACCUGCCCCCUUCUUCUGGAUAACCGCAUGAAAGUGUGGCUAAUACGGGAUAUUCUGGGUCUGUCGCAUGAUGGGUCUGGGAAAGAUAUUGUUUCGGUGGGGGAUGGGCUCGCGGCCUAUCAGCUUGUUGGUGGGGUGAUGGCCUACCAAGGCGGUGAGGGGUAGCCGGCCUGAGAGGGUGGACGGUCAUACUGGUGCGGAGAGACGGACAAGACUCCUACGGGAGGCAGCAGUGGGGAUUAGUGCACAAUGGGCGCAAGCCUGAUGCAGCGCCGCCGCGUGAGGGAUGGAGUCCUUCGGGUUGUGAACCUCUUUCGCCAGUGAAGCAGGGCUGCCUCGUUUGUGGGUGGGUUGACGGUAGCUGGAUAAGAAGCGCCGGCUAACUACGUG
rnacentral:rRNA from 1 species